rnacentral:rRNA from 1 species
CGAUGGAUACUGGGCAGCUAGAGUGUGUCAGAGGAUGGUGGAAUUCCCGGUGUAGCGGUGAAAUGCGUAGAGAUCGGGAGGAACAUCAGUGGCGAAGGCGGCCAUCUGGGACAACACUGACGCUGAAGCACGAAAGCGUGGGGAGCAAACAGGAUUAGAUACCCUGGUAGUCCACGCCCUAAACGAUGCGAACUGGAUGUUGGUCUCAACUCGGAGAUCAGUGUCGAAGCUAACGCGUUAAGUUCGCCGCCUGGGGAGUACGGUCGCAAGACUGAAACUCAAAGGAAUUGACGGGGGCCCGCACAAGCGGUGGAGUAUGUGGUUUAAUUCGAUGCAACGCGAAGAACCUUACCUGGCCUUGACAUGUCCGGAAUCCUGCAGAGAUGCGGGAGUGCCUUCGGGAAUCGGAACACAGGUGCUGCAUGGCUGUCGUCAGCUCGUGUCGUGGGAUGUUGGGUUAAGUCCCGCAACGAGCGCAACCCUUGUCCUUAGUUGCCAGCGAGUAAUGUCGGGAACUCUAAGGAGACUGCCGGUGACAAACCGGAGGAAGGUGGGGAUGACGUCAAGUCCUCAUGGCCCUUACGGCCAGGGCUACACACGUACUACAAUGGUCGGUACAGAGGGUUGCGAUACCGCGAGGUGGAGCCAAUCCCAGAAAGCCGAUCCCAGUCCGGAUCGAAGUCUGCAACUCGACUUCGUGAAGUCGGAAUCGCUAGUAAUCGCGGAUCAGCUAUGCCGCGGUGAAUACGUUCCCGGGCCUUGUACACACCGCCCGUCACACCAUGGGAGUGGGUUGCUCCAGAAGGCGUUAGUCUAACCGCAAGGAGGACGACGCCCACGGAGUGGUUCAUGACUGGGGUGAAGUCGUAACAAGGUAACCGUA